UCCUGUUCUUUUUCCCAGAACAGGCACUUUGCUAAAGUGUUUGCCACUUACUAAUAUGGAAUAGGUCCUGCAGUGAGCUCUCUGCACUAGAGUGGCUGCCACUCAAAAACACAUGGCAAAUGCUUCCCCAAAGCUCUUGCUGGGGGUUAUUUUUAGUUGGUUGUUUGAGAUUGAUGAUCACCCUCAAAAAAGAAAAGAACAAACAAAAAACCCCAGCAAAUUUCAACGUUCCAUGAGGGAAAACUGCAGUCUUUGAAGUAACAGAUGUUUUUGGUGGUUUAUUUACUAUUAACUAUUAAUGUUACAGCUGGUAUGUGCAUACAAUUAAUUAAUUUUAAGCAAAGGAACUUUCUAGAAGAUAAUUUCCCCUUGGGAGAGGUGGGAUUUAUGCCUAGGUCCCAGUAGAGCUGAGUGUGUGUCCUGUGGCUGAGCUUGCCUAUGGGUCACAAGGCCAAUUAACAGGAUCACAGGACCCUGGGGGCUGCAGCAGGAGAUUUCCCCUCUGGAAGAAACAAAAGGCUGCCAAUAUCCUGAUUAAUUUGCUUUGUGAAAUCCUAUUCAAGUGGGAAUUGAUGUGGACGCUUCACAUGCAUGGGUGUUAUGGUUGGAAUGGGUCAAAAAUACAGCAAUGUAGGGGAUGAAGCACAGAGUAAAAGAGGCAUCCUGACACUGGAACAUCCCACUGAGUGUGGAAUCAUCAUUAACUGGGAUGAAGUGGGAAAGGCUUGGUAUCAGAAAUGCCUUGUUCAUUUUGAGUGGAAAACAUGGACUUCAUGUUAUGUGACAUUGGAUUGGGAAAAUGAAACAGCAACUCUGCCUCCUCCUCCUCUCUUGAAAAGGGCAUGGAGCUUCCUGAUGGACAGGGGAAGGAAUUCACCAUUGGCAAUGGAUGGUGCUGAUGCCCAGGAGUAUUUUGCCUGUAUAAUCACCUUGCUGAGCUUCCAGAGGAGGUGAGUGGAAGGUGCUGUCCUUGCUCUCCUAGCCUCACACAGCUUUUUCCUGGAGUUUUCUCAGGGAGACAGCUUGGACUAGUGAGCCUUCCUCUCCUUUUAACAGCAGGAAAAAGGAGGGGAUGAAGAGAGAAAUAAUGUGUUGAAACUUCUUUCCA